rnacentral:rRNA from 1 species
UACAGAGGUCCCAAGCGUUAUCCGGAUUUAUUGGGUUUAAAGGGUGCGUAGGCGGGCUAUUAAGUCAGUGGUGAAAGCCCCAAGCUUAACUUGGGAACUGCCAUUGGUACUGAUGGUCUUGAGUACAUUUGAGGUGGGCGGAAUGUGUCAUGUAGCGGUGAAAUGCUUAGAUAUGACACAGAACACCGAUUGCGAAGGCAGCUCACUAAACUGUAACUGACGCUGAGGCACGAAAGCGUGGGGAGCAAACAGG